GCUGAGAUCACUCAGUCGGUAGAGCAUGAGAAUCUUAAUCUCAGGGUUGUGAGUUUGAGCCCCACGUUGGGCA